GAACACUAAAUGUCGUUUCUUCUCGUUACAGAAACACAAUUUUGUUUUUAACUGUACUCGACCUACACCAUAAAUAGUCUUAUAAAACGACAUUUUUGUACGUUAAAAUUCAAAAAAGACUGAAGAAAAAUGGAGAAAUUACGUUUCGAAUUUACCAUGAAAGCAGCCACAGACAAGAAAUUGAACGCGCUAUUAGUGACUUCCAUUACAAGACCAGACGGCGAAAUUUUUGACCUACCAGGAGAAUUGCAGGAUGUGAACUUACACACGGAAUUAAUGAAGACCGAUACUUUUAAGAAAGUUAAAAACGCAAACUUUAAAAGGAAUCAGAAGUGAAACGCGUGGAUUGUAUUGAACUCUGAGUUGCGGGCUGAAUACAUUGAUGAAGGGGGUAAUAUCCAGUUCGGGGAUAUGUUAUUAGAAGAAAGAUGGGAAGAACCGAAGGCUAAUAAUUCAAACGACCUAUCAAAAGACGAUCUGAAACAAACUUUACGUAGUGAUCCCCAAACAACGACUGAACAAAAGAGGACAAUUAAGUCAUCUUCAGAAAGGUUCAUGUUAGAAAAAUUCACCGACAAAAA
rnacentral:lncRNA from 1 species